AUGAGCAUGGCGGACAUUAAAGGUCAAGUAUCGUCAAACGGACGAUUUUUGGUAUAUUAUUAAUGAAACCCACAGCCAAUAUGGUCCCAUGUGUUUUUUUCACCACAAAACAUGAUUUUGACGUAUACAGCUUUUUGUAACUCUCGCCAUGAAAAUCCUCUCGAGGGAUUUGUUUUCGACAAGAAGUAGGAAGUGACGUACAGGACAGAGGCGCCCCGUAGUGGACUCGUUUGUUUCCAUUAGUUUUACCUCCAGGAAGGUAGCUCCUUGUUCCUUCGUGUUAGCCAAAAUGCCGGCUCAUGUGAUUGCUGGACAUUGCUUGAACACUCGGGAGAAUGGAAUUACCCUUCAUAAGUUUGAAAGAGACCCUGUUCAUUGUGAAAAAGAGCUUCGUGGGUUCCAAAUAACAGGGAGCCGUAAACUACAACUUGCUUUGAGCACACCAGCUGAGAGAAUGGCAACAGAAGAGGACUUGGUCUCUUUCCUCAAAACAAGGAAUAUACCUGACAGCGUCAUCGAUCAACUCAAAGAAGAUAAGGUGAGUAUACCUGUAAACUCUUUUAUCACACUAAUAUAGUAGUAUAGGCUUCAUUUAUGCUUGCUAGGCUAAAAUGAUUGACAUUUGUAACCCGCAUUUUUCUUCUUACAGAUCGAUAUUAACGUCAUGUGUGUUAUGACAGAUGAAGAGUUAGGACAGUAUUUUGUCAGAUAUGGAGUCCGACAUGCACUCAGAGCAUUUAGUCGUCGAAGAACCCUGACAGAUGAAAACCAGGGUGGAAGUGAGGCUUUUACAGACACGCUUAUGCAAUGUAUCAGAGAAAGGUUUGGGAACGAAUAGAGAGUUACUACCGACCGGGGCACUAUUAGAAAUAAAGGUGCCGUCAAAGUCACGCGCUGUGUUGAAAUGGGUUGGCUCCACUUUCAGAACGGCUUGUAUCAUCAAGUCAGAGCAAGAGGUAGAGGUGGAACACGGCAACAAUCCGUUGACAAAACAGUGACUAUGGCGGAACUGCUGGGGACAGCCAAAGACUUUUUUUUCCCUCAAAUGGACGUUCGCUCAAAGGACCAUGUGAAGACUUUGACUUUGAUGUUCGUGAUUAUAGUCAUAAUUUUGUGGCUUGUGAUGUCACUGUCGGUUAACUAUACGAGCAAAGUAAACUAGCCAUGCUGCGCAUUUACACAACCUCCAAAACCAAAGUAAUACAGCUCUGAUUUAUCCUCGGACUUUGAGCCCACAGAUGAUCCACCAAUGAAGGUAAGGAGGUUCUCUUCCAUGUGUUUUUAAUACAUAAGGUAUUGCACAUACUAAAAUCGUAAAGAUACCAUUUUAAGUUUGACGUUUGGGGCAAGAAUUAUAGUAAUUUGAGCCCCAGUCUACAGAACUGUGAGGCAGAUGCUCUAACCUGUUGUUGAUUGUCCCGUCACCUAUAUUUGGGGGGGAAAGCAACAAUGGGACAACAUGACUAUAUAAACCUACAAUGUGCUGAUCUGCUAACAACUUUCUUUAUUGCUGCCAAUGCAGAGACGAUCUUUGAAGAGACGAUCUUACAGACAUAAGCACAGCAGGACUAGAAACAACCAAGUGGCUCACUCACAAAGUUCCUUUGCUCUAGAUCCAGCACUCACUUGCUCAAUGCAGAGAGGAGAGCAAAUGAAUCACUCAAGUUCAGUGUCCGAUAUGACCGUCACAGAAGCCCUUCAUCCUCUAUCUUCUGAAGCACUUGGACAGACAGCAGGCAUGCAUGGCUAUGAGGGAGGCCAUUAAAUUACUGUGUCAAAUGAAGAUAGUGAACAUGGGCUAGGUGAUAUUUUGGAUCCACCACUUGCCCUUGCUAUAGAAAGAUCCCCUGAUGAUAAUGAAGUACACUUUGGACGAACUACUGGUGAUGAGGACCAAGACUCCACCCUUCCCUGGAAUCCAUAUGAGGAAAACAGGAUGCAGAAGUCGAUUUGCUUGUGUAUUUGGACCAUCGUCCUGUUACAGAACUCAAGUGGGCUUCAACUUGAGAUCACAAACUGAUGGCUGAAUAUUCACCACCAGCUUUUUCUUGUAAAGAGCAGAAUUCAUGGUCCCAUCAAUCACAUCAAGUUUUCCAAAGUCCUGAAGGAUAAAAGCAGCCCAAGACUAUCCAUUGCACUACCAUCUCCAUGUUUGACGCCUGAUACUAUGUUUUUUUGUUAUGAUGUGCUACCUGUACGUCGCAUAUGACAUAGCUUUUAAAAAGCUAAAUUUUCAUCUCACCAGCCCAUAUAUUCUCACAAAAGUCUUGGGAAUCAUUCGGAUCGUUUGUUUUUCUGUAAAAGUAAGAGAAGCAUUUAUGUUCUUCCUGAGCAUCAGUGGUUUUGGCCUUUGAACUCUCCCAUGGGUCCCUUUUUGUUCAGUCUCUUUCUUGUUAUUAUAAACAGUGAUCUUAACUGAGGAUAGGGAGGCUUCCAGUUCUUUAGAAGUUUUCUUGAGUUUCUUUGUGGCAUCCUUGAUUGCAAUUGCUAUUUUAUUGUUAAUCUUCGUAGGCCGGCCACAUCUGGGAAGGUUUACCACUGUUCCAUGUUUUCUCCAUUUGAGGAUAGUCUUGCUUUGGUUCACUGGAAUCCUGAAGAUUUAGAAAAGGCCUUUGAAACCCUUUCCAAACUUGUUGAUGUCAGUUACUUUAUUUACUUUACACACAGGGCCAAGAUGCAUUUUUGUCGAAUACAUAAAAUCACCAUUGAAAACAGCAUUUUAAAUUAACCUGUUACAUUGGUCAAUUUACAUUGUUGGAAGGAUAAAGUGAUGAAACAAUGCAAAAAUACAAUAAUUUGGAAUGGGCCCAAUAUUUUUUUUGUUGAAUAAUAUUUUGUUCACUAUUGGAUGAACUGAUGAGUAUGUUUUUUUUUUUUUAACAUCUUGCUGUACUCUACACCAAAUGAUGAGCCUCUGUCAUCGAGCAAUGGUGCAGAAUCAUCAGACCCCUAUAAGAGACAAGUCCUUGUAAAUUUAAGACGUGCAAACAUCGUUGACGAUUGAAAGGCUUUCGAAAGGUGAUGCUAACUUCUUUCAAGCACCAUUUGCACAUUUAGCAUGUUUUUAUUGCUCCUUUUAUUCAAUUGUUCACUUG